rnacentral:rRNA from 1 species
UACGUAGGGUGCGAGCGUUGUCCGGAAUUAUUGGGCGUAAAGGGCUUGUAGGCGGUUCGUCACGUCGAAAGUGAAAACUCAGGGCUUAACCCUGAGCCUGCUUUCGAUACGGGUGAACUAGAGGAAUGCAGGGGAGAACGGAAUUCCUGGUGGAGCGGUGGAAUGCGCAGAUAUCAGGAGGAACACCGGUGGCGAAGGCGGUUCUCUGGGCAUUACCUGACGCUGAGAAGCGAAAGCGUGGGGAGCAAACAGG